GAUCCUGGCUCAGGAUGAACGCUAGCUACAGGCUUAACACAUGCAAGUCGAGGGGCAGCGGGAUUGAAGCUUGCUUCAAUUGCCGGCGACCGGCGCACGGGUGAGUAACGCGUAUCCAACCUUCCGUACACUCAGGGAUAGCCUUUCGAAAGAAAGAUUAAUACCUGAUGGUAUGAUGAGAUUGCAUGAUAGCAUCAUUAAAGAUUCAUCGGUGAUGGAUGGGGA
rnacentral:rRNA from 1 species